AAGUCGUAACAAGGUUUCCGUAGGUGAACCUGCGGAAGGAUCAUUAAAUAAUCAAUAAUUUUGGCUCGUCCAUUAUUAUCUAUUUACUGUGAACUGUAUUAUUACUUGACGCUUGAGGGAUGCUCCACUGCUAUAAGGAUAGGCGGUAGAGAUGUUAACCGAGUCAUAGUCAAGCUUAGGCUUGGUAUCCUAUUAUUAUUUACCAAAAGAAUUCAGAAUUAAUAUUGUAACAUAGACCUAAAAAAUCUAUAAAACAACUUUUAACAACGGUUCUCUUGGUUCUC
rnacentral:misc_RNA from 1 species